rnacentral:rRNA from 1 species
AGCCGCAUAAGCGCACAGCUUAGCAUGAAGCAGUGUGAAAAACUCCGGUGGUACAGGAUGGACCCGCGUCUGAUUACCCAGUUGACAGGGUAAUGGCAUUCCAAAGCGACGAUCAGUAGCCGGCUUGAGAGAGUGACCGGCCACAUUGGGAUUGAGACACGGCCCAAACUCCUACGGGAGGCAGCAGUGGGGGAUAUUGCACAAUGGGGGAAACCCUGAUGCAGCGACGCCGCGUGAGUGAAGAAGUAUUUCGGUAUGUAAAGCUCUAUCAGCAGGGAAGAAAACAAUGACAGUACCUGACUAAGAAGCCCCGGCUAACUACGUGCCAGCAGCCGCGGUAAUACGUAGGGGGCAAGCGUUAUCCGGAUUUACUGGGUGUAAAGGGAGCGUAGGCGGUGCGGCAAGUCAGAAGUGAAAGCCCGGGGCUCAACUCCGGGACUGCUUUUGAAACUGUCGGACUGGAGUGUCGGAGAGGUAAGUGGAAUUCCUAGUGUAGCGGUGAAAUGCGUAGAUAUUAGGAGGAACACCAGUGGCGAAGGCGGCUUACUGGACGAUCACUGACGCUGAGGCUCGAAAGCGUGGGGAGCAAACAGGAUUAGAUACCCUGGUAGUCCACGCCGUAAACGAC